rnacentral:rRNA from 1 species
GACGAACGCUGGCGGCGUGCUUAACACAUGCAAGUCGAACGGAAAGGUCCUGCUUUUGUGGGGUGCUCGAGUGGCGAACGGGUGAGUAACACGUGAGUAACCUGCCCUUGACUUUGGGAUAACUUCAGGAAACUGGGGCUAAUACCGGAUAGGAGCUCCUGCUGCAUGGUGGGGGUUGGAAAGUUUCGGCGGUUGGGGAUGGACUCGCGGCCUAUCAGCUUGUUGGUGGGGUAGUGGCUUACCAAGGCUUUGACGGGUAGCCGGCCUGAGAGGGUGACCGGCCACAUUGGGACUGAGAUGCGGCACAGACUCCUACGGGAGGCAGCAGUGGGGAAUAUUGCACGAUGGGCGGAAGCCUGAUGCAGCAACGCCGCGUGCGGGAUGACGGCCUUCGGGUUGUAAACCGCUUUCGCCUGUGACGAAGCGUGAGUGACGGUAAUGGGUAAAGAAGCACCGGCUAACUACGUG